rnacentral:Y_RNA from 1 species
GACUGGUCAGAGUUCAGUGGUGUUUACAAUUGAUCACAGGCAGUUACAGGUUUCUUUGCUCCUUCUCCACUCCCAUGGCUUUACUUGAAUAGAAGA